rnacentral:lncRNA from 1 species
AAUAUUUCCUAUCAUCCUAUAAGUGGAUUGUCGUAUUGUAAAUGUCUGCCGAUACUUGCUCACCAGGUUUUGAAGGGGAGCUGGUGGAGUUCCUGAAAGUGACAUAAAAACUUGGUGAAGGAUCCAGACAACGAUCCACAGUUGUAAGGCUGAUGGAGCUCGAAGGGAAUUCAGGGGACCCUCAGUUGCUACUUCCUGGCUUUAAAUGGAGACGUGCCCACAGCAGCUGGUCUCAGCAUAAGGAAAUAGACUCCAGUGACAACUCAGUGGUCUUUGGGAAGGAAUGCUCUGGAUGAUGAAAGUAGCUGCCAGGGGACUUUUCACGUUAAAGGAAACAGAGCAGGAGGUGAGUGCUGGGAAAUGAAAAUACAACGUUUUUGUGUGUGUAGCUUGUACUUAGGGUUUCUCUCAUCACAAACACAGAUGUGUAUGCCCACAAUGUAAGGUGACAUUCAGGGUAGGUAGUGAUCAGUGUGCAGAGGCCAGGGACACUCAGCGGGGACCCUCGCAAGUGGCACUCUUGGAGAGGGACACCCUUCCUUUCUCAAGAAUUGUCUCUUCAGUCGGUAAAUCAAAGGAACAUCCAGUAGAUUCUUAAGAGGGGCUGGAGAAGCCCUGGGGGGCAGUGGCUAUUUACUCAGGAAAAAGGAAACAUUGAUUUUUGACAGUCAAUUUUGUCCUGUUCAGUGGAGUGCCAGGACCAGCUUGUACCAACGCUUGAGGACCGCUUGUUACCUUUCCAGGAAUUUUGUGAGCUGGUUUUUUAAUCACAGCAGUUAAUCACAUGUUAAAUAAUGUAAACUUGUAUUAAAAAUACGCACAAGUGAUAAAUACCCCAAACUCGACGGUCAUCAUUUAUUUUAAUACACUUAACUGUUACUUGUGCUUGUGAGGUUGUUCAAGCCUCUCAUGUCGGGAUGGUGGAAGUGCUGUGUGAUGGUUGACUACUGUGCAUCUCUUCCCCAUUCCCUGUUUAGUGACAUGUUUUCACCCUGAAAUUGGUUGGCUAUAAACUGAGCUUUCCUCCCAGUCUGUGAAUGGCCAAACUGGUUCAUUCUGGCUGGGUAUGUGCCCGGCUCCUUCUAUGGAUUUCUUUUUGUGCUGAGCCAUCUCUGCUUACCAGGACUUACCAGUAACUUGGCUGCGGAUGUCGCUGAGAUGAUAGAAGCCAUGAAUU